rnacentral:rRNA from 1 species
CCUACGGGUGGCAGCAGUGAGGAAUAUUGGUCAAUGGUCGGGCGACUGAACCAGCCAAGCCGCGUGAGGGAUGAAGGUACAGAGUAUCGUAAACCUCUUUUGUCAGGGAACAAAGGCGGGGACGUGUCCCCGGAUGAGUGUACCUGAAGAAAAAGCAUCGGCUAACUCCGUGCCAGCAGCCGCGGGAAUACGGGGGAUGCGAGCGUUAUCCGGAUUUAUUGGGUUUAAAGGGUGCGCAGGCGGACUUGUAAGUCAGAGGUAAAAGCCCGGGGCUCAACCCCGGCCCGCCGUUGAAACUGGCAGUCUCGAGUUGGAGAGAGGUAUGCGGAAUGCGCGGUGUAGCGGUGAAAUGCAUAGAUAUCGCGCAGAACUCCGAUUGCGAAGGCAGCAUGCCGGCUCCACACUGACGCUGAGGCACGAAAGCGUGGGUAUCGAACAGGAUUAGAUACCCUUGUAGUC